GAUGAACGCUGGCGGCGUGCCUAAUACAUGCAAGUCGAGCGAACAGACGAGGAGCUUGCUCCUCUGACGUUAGCGGCGGACGGGUGAGUAACACGUGGAUAACCUACCUAUAAGACUGGGAUAACUUCGGGAAACCGGAGCUAAUACCGGAUAAUAUAUUGAACCGCAUGGUUCAAUAGUGAAAGACGGUUUUGCUGCCACUUAUAGAUGGAUCCGCGCCGCAUUAGCUAGUUGGUGAGGUAACGGCUUACCAAGGCAACGAUGCGUAGCCGACCUGAGAGGGUGAUCGGCCACACUGGAACUGAGACACGGUCCAGACUCCUACGGGAGGCAGCAGUAGGGAAUCUUCCGCAAUGGGCGAAAGCCUGACGGAGCAACGCCGCGUGAGUGAUGAAGGUCUUCGGAUCGUAAAACUCUGUUAUUAGGGAAGAACAAAUGUGUAAGUAACUAUGCACGUCUUGACGGUACCUAAUCAGAAAGCCACGGCUAACUACGUG
rnacentral:rRNA from 1 species